ACGGGUGAGUAACACGUGAGCAAUCUGCCCCUGACUCUGGGAUAAGCGCUGGAAACGGCGUCUAAUACCGGAUACGAGCCGAGCAGGCAUCUGCAGCGGCUGGAAAGAACUUCGGUCAGGGAUGAGCUCGCGGCCUAUCAGCUAGUUGGUGAGGUAAUGGCUCACCAAGGCGACGACGGGUAGCCGGCCUGAGAGGGUGACCGGCCACACUGGGACUGAGACACGGCCCAGACUCCUACGGGAGGCAGCAGUGGGGAAUAUUGCACAAUGGGCGCAAGCCUGAUGCAGCAACGCCGCGUGAGGGACGAAGGCCUUCGGGUUGUAAACCUCUUUUAGCAGGGAAGAAGCGAAAGUGACGGUACCUGCAGAAAAAGCACCGGCUAACUACGUGCCAGCAGCCGCGGUAAUACGUAGGGUGCGAGCGUUAUCCGGAAUUAUUGGGCGUAAAGAGCUCGUAGGCGGUCUGUCGCGUCUGCUGUGAAAUCCCGAGGCUCAACCUCGGGCUUGCAGUGGGUACGGGCAGACUAGAGUGCGGUAGGGGAGAUUGGAAUUCCUGGUGUAGCGGUGGAAUGCGCAGA
rnacentral:rRNA from 3 species